AUUGAACGCUGGCGGCAUGCCUUACACAUGCAAGUCGAACGGCAGCACGGGUGCUUGCACCUGGUGGCGAGUGGCGAACGGGGUGAGUAAUACAUCGGAACGUACCUUAUCGUGGGGGAUAACGCAGCGAAAGCUGUGCUAAUACCGCAUACGCCCUGAGGGGGAAANCGGGGGAUCGAAAGACCUCGCGCGAUUAGAGCGGCCGAUGCCUGAUUAGCUUGUUGGUGGGGUAAAAGCCCACCAAGGCGACGAUCAGUAGCUGGUCUGAGAGGACGAUCAGCCACACUGGGACUGAGACACGGCCCAGACUCCUACGGGAGGCAGCAGUGGGGAAUUUUGGACAAUGGGGGAAACCCUGAUCCAGCAAUGCCGCGUGAGUGAAGAAGGCCUUCGGGUUGUAAAGCUCUUUGUCAGGGAAGAAACACCGGCUCUAACACAGUCCGGGAAUGACGGUACCUGAAGAAUAAAGCACCGGCUAACUACGUGCCAGCAGCC
rnacentral:rRNA from 1 species